GAUGAACGCUGGCGGCGUGCCUAACACAUGCCAGUCGAACGGAGAUUACGGACGGAAGUUUUCGGAUGGAAGCCUGUAAUUCUUAGUGGCGGACGGGUGAGUAACGCGUGGGCAACCUGCCCUAUACAGGGGGAUAGCAGCUGGAAACGGCUGGUAAGACCGCAUAAGUCGGUUAAAUCGCAUGAUUUGAUCGGGAAAUGAGCAAUCAGGUAUAGGAUGGGCCCGCGUCCGAUUAGCCAGUUGGCAGGGUAAAAGCCUACCAAAGCGACGAUCGGUAGCCGGACUGAGAGGUCGGACGGCCACAUUGGGACUGAGACACGGCCCAAACUCCUACGGGAGGCAGCAGUGGGGGAUAUUGCACAAUGGAGGAAACUCUGAUGCAGCGACGCCGCGUGAGUGAAGAAGUAUUUCGGUAUGUAAAGCUCUAUCAGCAGGGAAGAUGAUGACGGUACCUGACUAAGAAGCCCCGGCUAACUACGUG
rnacentral:rRNA from 1 species